rnacentral:tRNA from 1 species
GCUCAGUCGGUAGAGCAUGAGACUCUCUAUCUCAGAGUUGUGGGUUCGUGCCCCAC